rnacentral:rRNA from 1 species
AUUUGAACGCUGGCGGCAUGCUUUACACAUGCAAGUCGAACGGUAACAGGCCUUCGGGUGCUGACGAGUGGCGAACGGGUGAGUAAUGCAUCGGAACGUACCCAGAGGUGGGGGAUAACGCAGCGAAAGCUGUGCUAAUACCGCAUGUGAUCUGAGGAUGAAAGCGGGGGACCGAGCAGCAAUGUUUGGCCUCGCGCCUUUGGAGCGGCCGAUGUCGGAUUAGCUAGUUGGUGGGGUAAAGGCCUACCAAGGCGACGAUCCGUAGCUGGUCUGAGGGGACGACCAGCCACACUGGGACUGAGACACGGCCCAGACUCCUACGGGAGGCAGCAGUGGGGAAUUUUGGACAAUGGGCGCAAGCCUGAUCCAGCAAUGCCGCGUGCGGGAAGAAGGCCUUCGGGUUGUAAACCGCUUUUGGCAGGAACGAAACGGUGUCCGCUAAUACCGGGCGCCAAUGACGGUACCUGCAGAAUAAGCACCGGCUAACUACGUG